UUACCUGGUGUCGACGUCCAAUAGGAGCUC
rnacentral:sRNA from 1 species